rnacentral:lncRNA from 1 species
GCAAUUUUAAUUGCUAAUGUAUUUUGUGUUGUUUCAUUUUUCAAGUUUAUUUUGUUUUAAUACGGAAGGAAAUCUCAAGAGAAGAAGGCAAAAAUAGCAUAAUUUAUUUCCCUUUCUAUGAUUUUUUUUACUUUUAAUUUUAUCGCAUUUUAUGUGUUUGUCUGUUGUUUAUGUUUUUAGUAUUUUUUUUUUCUUUUUCUAGCUGUAUAUACAUUGCUUUGAAAAUUCUUCAAAAUUUUGAGUUGU